GCGGCGCUGCCAUAAACACACCAAGAUGGCGGCCCUCACGCCGCCAGCCCGUGCUGCGUCAUGCCGCCCCCGGCCCCGCCGAGCGCCGCGCCCGCAGACUUCUGCAGAUUUUUUGUUAGUAUCGUGCUAAUCAAGAUGGAAAUCAGGUUUGCUACCUGUGCACCUCAUAAGCUGCUGCAGAGGCAGAGUGAGAGUGGCUUGUAGUACUAGAAAAUACUUGACCUGUGCGUAAGAGCGGGGAGUUGGAAGCCUUGUGGGUUGUAGUCAGGGCACACGAGUAAUUCCGUCGGUGCGAUGCUAGAAGGAUUUUGGUUCAUAGGAAACAAGUGAAAAAUACAUAGAAUUGUAGCCCUGAAGGGGCAGGUGGUGGAACCAGAGUUUAAGAAACAGCCAGACAAACUUACAAGGCUUUCAAAAACGAGAACUGGCAGCAAACACUGGAAACCAGAGAGUUUUUUUAAAGCAUAUGGAAAUAUGCAGCGUCUUAGCAAUAACAAGGACAAAAAAAAAAUGUGUGCUAGACUCCAAGACUAAUGUGGGUUUUGCUUAAAAACAGGGUUCUUCAGAUGAUAAUGGGGAACCUACGGAGACUUUUUGCAUCAAGUCUGCGUAUCUGUAGCCUGACUGAAGCAAAGCAAAAAUCACGUGCGUGUUAGAUGCGAGGAGACAAACCAUAUUUGUGUUGGACUAAGAGCUAGAUCCUCGCUGGAGAAAAUGGCAUCCCCCCUUAGAGUAUGCAUGUAACCCACAUGGUCUUUGUGCCAGAGGGUGUUGGGGAUUAUUCACCUUUGCAGACAUGUAUCUUCUCCCUCUGAACAGCGUCAUAGUAACUGCUGGAGAAUGGAUUAAAAUUUUGAAACAGCGGUCAAGGCAUACUUGAACUAUAAAAUAGCGAUUCUUCUCUCAUCACCUCAGCCUGUGAAAUGUAGGAUUCCCCACCCUCCAUUUAUGCCGUACCAAAAUCAGGAGGAUUUUUCUACUGGAAUAGUAAUGGUGGUGUAAAAAUACCUCAAAGUGAGAGCAAAUGGUUCAUCAGUUACGCAGCUUGCUUCCUUUUCAAAACUCACCAUUGUACACACAGAAUUUGUUAGUGUUUUCUACCAAGUUUUUUUUGUUGUUUUUUUCCCCAGCAACAGCAGAUUCUUUAAUGAUUAAUCUACAAAUGGUGGUAAAUCUGCGAGUUUUAGGAUAUAUGCUUAAGUCAUCUGUGUCAUCUUACGUCAGUAUUGCAUAAUCUGUUGACUGUCCCCUUUUUAUGUAAUGUAUGUUUGUAGUUUGUUUUAAAAUGUACAAAUAUUUUUUUUCCACUGCGUGCUUCUCCUCAGAUAUUUCAUAUUUGUCUCUCCAUUGCCCUCUUGAGUUAAAAACUUGUAAGACACCAUUUUGAUAGCUGGAUCCAGUGGAGUGUUACAUAUUUCUCUUUCAAAAACAGUCUGCACAACAUCUUGGGACAUGCUCUUUGCCAGGUAAGUUAUUUAGAGUGUUAUACCACUGCUGGAGUUUCUGCUUCCUCCUGGUAGAAACAUGACAGCAACUUCUACUUGUGAAGUCCAUCAACAUCACAAAUGAACUCUUUAUAAAAACUUAAUAACACAUUAACUUUUACUAUGUAAAA